UGAUUGCAGAUGCAUUUUGUUGUUUGAGACCCUUGAACAUCUCGUCUAUUUGGGGAUGGCAUGGAGGGAUAAAUUGGGAGCGGGAGAAGUGGUUGAAAAUGGGGGAAAACUGGAGUGUCGGCCAAUGGUAAUUAUUCUGUCUUGGAAGAGCCUUGCAAGAGAAGAGCACAAUUCUUGUCUUAGAUGAAGCCACUGCAUCUGUUGAUACUGCAACCGAUGGUACAAUACAAAAAGAUCAACAGUCAAGAAUUUAAAGAUCGAACGGUGGUUACUAUAGCUCACAGAAUCCACACAGUUAUAGAUAGCGAUAUUGUAUUGGUCCUCAGUGAUGGGUGGAUAGCAGAGUAUGACACACCAGCAAAGCUACUGGAAAGAGAGGAUUCUUUCUUCUCAAGACUGAUAAGAGAGUACUCAAAAGAUCAGAGAGUUUUAGUAGCUUUUCCAAGUUGCAAAGCUAACUCUGAUCACAAGAUGCACGAAAACCAAAGUGGAGGCAUCCUGACCACCAAGAUAUCAUAAUUACUACGGUGUAAGUGAAGUCUUCUCAGAAACAAAAGAAAGUUUGGACCAGUCAUAGCCACAAUAAAGGCUACAGUUCGUGGCUGCAGCACCAAGAACUC